UUUUUUCACAAUCAAUUAAAAUCUAUGAAAAUUGAUUCAAUACCAUUCAAGAUGGCCAAUAAGUUGAAAGACAACAAAAAGUAAAGCCACGAAAUUGAUUCUUAAACAGAUCCGCAAAAUGUUUGGGCCAGGAAAAUUUUCUAUGCUAUUGUAGCUCAUGUUCUAUAUUCUCAAAUUGGUUUUUUUGUUUCACUGUGUGUGUAGUUUAAACUAGAACUGACCAUCUGGGUUCUUAUUACUUGAAGUAGGUUUUAAGAUCAUUUCCUGUAUUUUUUCCUUCUCUUUGUUGCUUCUUUCAACAGUCAUGCUGUAGUUCUUUUAAAAACCUUAAGUGACAAAAUUCUUCAAGUCAUUCAACGUUGGUUUUUAAAUUGUUUCAUGUACUACUGAUUUGUCACUACUUGUUUUUUCUCCUCAAUUCAUGACAUAGUUAAUACAAGGACUGAUCAAACUGUUUUUAUCAUUUGAAAUUUUAAAAUGAUGUUUCAUGAAUUACUAACUUCUCUCACUUGUUUUUUUAUUUCUGUUUCAUAGUAUGUUUUACACCUGAAACUUCUAGCUAUUUGUUUCUUUCUACUUUUAAGUUUCAUGAUGUACUUUUACCUGGAAGGUCUGAGUUUCAUCAUUGGCAGUUUUUUUUUUAAGUAAUGUUCCAUGUCUCUCCAUUUGUCUUUUUCCAUUUUCAUAGUGUCUUGUAUAUCCAAAGUAACUCAACACACUGGGUUUUUAUCAUUUAAAAGUUUAUACCAAGAGUCAUGAAUCAAACUUAUUUGAGUUUCAUAACAUGUAUGUUGUAAGUGGCUGAUUAGACUUAAUUUUUAUGGUUUGAGUAUACACCACAAGUAACUGAUCGGACAGAAUUAACUCUUUUGUGUUUUAUAGUAUAGUUAAUAGCUGGAGUGAUUCAUAACAUCUAAUUCUUUAUAAUUUUAUAUUUGAGGUUUAUAAUAGUAUGGUUCAAACUUGGAGAGACUAAUCUGACUCAAUUCUUAUUAUGUGAUGUUACUUCUUAAUGAUACUCCAUUUUCACUGACUUUUAACUAUUUUUUUCUCAAUUUCAUAGUAUAGUAUGUACCAGUCCUGACUGACAUUACUACGUGUUCAUAUUAUGUGGUUGUCUUAAAUUGAUGUCUCAUGUACCACUACAUGUAUUUGAUUCAUCAUUUCACAGUUUCUUGGUACAAUUGACUGCGGUCUAACUAUGUUUUACAUACUACUGGCUUUUUUCAAUGUUUCUUCUUUCUCAGUUGCAUAGCAUCAAUUACAAUUUCAGAAGAAACUGAUCAGACUAAAUUCUUAUUAUUUUACUUUGGUGUUGCAAUGAUGUUUUAUGAACUACUGACUUUUCACUCUGCUUCUUGUUUUCUCAGUUUCAUACCAUAGGUUAUACCAAAAGUGACUAAACAGACUGAGUUCUUAUCAUUUGAGUACCAGGAGUAACUGAUCCGUCUGAGUUCUGAUCAGUUGCUAUUAGUUUUAAAAAUUAAUGAUGUGUCAACUCAAAUUCUCUUUUUCAUUUGUUUCACAGUAUGAUGUGCACCAAAAUUUCUACCUCGAUUGACUGGGUUUUAUAAUUUGAGGCUUUUUCCACGUUUCAUGUUUCAUUCCACAUUUUCAUAGUUUGUUGGCAGAUUCUUCAUCAUUUGAAGUUUGUUAUGAUGCUUAAUGUACUUUAGACUUUUUUCACCAAUUUUUUCCUUUUUCAAAUUCAUGACAGUUUAUGUAAAGAGAAACUAAUUAACUUCGUUUGAGGCUGGAUUUUGAGAUGACUUUUAGUGUUUGACUCACUUUUCAUCUGUUGUUUUUCUAGUUUCAUGUUGUGUUAUAUACCAUGAGUGACUGAUGACACUGUUCCUGUCAUUUGAGGCUGCUUUUAAAUGACAUUAAUAUACAACUCACUUUUGAUUUGUUGCUCCUUUCAUAGUAUUCUUCGAUUUCAAGAUAAUUUAUUCAUUGAGUUUUAACCAAAAUAACCUAAGGAAAUGAAUCAGAACAUUGUUGCAAUGACGAGUACCACGCCCAAUGGACCUUGUGCUUUGAACCUUCUAAUUAAUGCGCAUCUCUCAACUGGAGUAAGAUGGUGGAUCUUCUGGUGAAGAGGCAGGCUGAACAUUUUCCUUUUCUAUCAAGUCACCAUUAUUUGAGGAACCACUUUUAUCUCUUUGUUUCAUGACACUAUUUCUCCUGUAUGCUCUUUGGUUGUUGUUUAGGCUUUCUAAGCAGUUUUUAUAGGCCUAAUCUCACCAUGUCCAGAAAUCUACAGUGCUGUACGGACCAGACCUUAAAAAAUAAUGAUAUUCAUAGUUCAAUUAAUUAUUGUAAUUAUACUCAUUAUCAAUAAUUAAGUGUCGUCACAGUAACAAACAAUGGCGUGUGAAUGUAAACAAAAUAAAACUCCUGGAUUCUACAAGGAGUUUCAUGAAGAUAAAAAAAUAGUGGAUGAUGUAGGAUUUGUGA